CCCUUAGAGUUUGAUCCUGGCUCAGGAUGAACGCUAGCUACAGGCUUAACACAUGCAAGUCGAGGGGCAGCAUUUUAGUUUGCUUGCAAACUGAAGAUGGCGACCGGCGCGCGGGUGAGUAACACGUAUCCAACCUGCCGAUAACUCCGGGAUAGCCUUUCGAAAGAAAGAUUAAUACCGGAUGGCAUACGAAUAUCGCAUGAUAUUUUUAUUAAAGAAUUUCGGUUAUCGAUGGGGAUGCGUUCCAUUAGUUUGUUGGCGGGGUAACGGCCCACCAAGACUACGAUGGAUAGGGGUUCUGAGAGGAAGGUCCCCCACAUUGGAACUGAGACACGGUCCAAACUCCUACGGGAGGCAGCAGUGAGGAAUAUUGGUCAAUGGGCGAGAGCCUGAACCAGCCAAGUAGCGUGAAGGAUGAAGGCUCUAUGGGUCGUAAACUUCUUUUAUAUGGGAAUAAA
rnacentral:rRNA from 1 species